rnacentral:rRNA from 1 species
UACGUAGGGUGCAAGCGUUGUUCGGAAUUAUUGGGCGUAAAGGGCGCGUAGGCGGUGCGGUAAGUCUGUAGUGAAAUCUCUGGGCUCAACUCAGAGUCUGCUGCAGAAACUGCCGUGCUUGAGUGUGGGAGAGGUGAGUGGAAUUCCCGGUGUAGCGGUGAAAUGCGCAGAUAUCAGGAGGAACACCAAUGGCGAAGGCAGCUCGCUGGGACGUGACUGACGCUGAGACGCGAAAGCGUGGGGAGCAAACAGG